GCUUCCAGGUGUUGGAGGAGGAAGGAGCUUGUUAGCCCAGUCUGGUGUGGUGUGCCUCUUUCUUGGUUCAGCCCGAAGAUUCAAGUCCAAUCUCUUCUGAAGAUUUGCAGAAGACUCAGCUAAGAGGAGUUAACCCACUGGAUGAUCGAGUAUGGAACCCAGAAGGAUCUUGAGAUGAUGAUCUAUGUCGUUGGAGCGCCUGGAAAAUGGAGGAGAUUACUUGGGG